rnacentral:rRNA from 1 species
AACGAACGCUGGCGGCAUGCCUAACACAUGCAAGUCGAACGAGACCUUCGGGUCUAGUGGCGCACGGGUGCGUAACACGUGGGAAUCUGCCCUUUGCUUCGGAAUAACAGUUAGAAAUGACUGCUAAUACCGGAUGAUGUCGAAAGACCAAAGAUUUAUCGGCAAAGGAUGAGCCCGCGUAGGAUUAGGUAGUUGGUGGGGUAAAGGCCUACCAAGCCGACGAUCCUUAGCUGGUCUGAGAGGAUGAUCAGCCACACUGGGACUGAGACACGGCCCAGACUCCUACGGGAAGCAGCAGUGGGGAAUAUUGGACAAUGGGCGAAAGCCUGAUCCAGCAAGGCCGCGUGAGUGAUGAAGGCCUUAGGGUUGUAAAGCUCUUUUAUCAGGGAUGAUAAUGACAGUACCUGGAGAAUAAGCUCCGGCUAACUCCGUG